GGCGGGCCAGCUGGCUGAGAAGAUGGUGUCUGGAGCCCGGGCCGCCGCCGCAGCCGCAGCCGCUGCGGCCGCCGCGGAGCGAACCCGGGGUGUCCCGGGUGUGCGGUCCAGGGCCAGGCCCGGGCCAUGAGCGCGCAGCCCUCGAGUCCCCGAGCCGCGGAGCCCGCCCAGCGUCCCUCCCCAUGGCGCGGAUCACAGACUACUUCCUGCUGGUGGCAUUCAGGCCGCACCCGCGCGGGAGUGGGAAAGGCCAGGGCCAGAUUCUGCAGUUCUUCCCGGAGAAGGACUGGGAGGCCAACCCAUUCCCCCAGCUGUUUUGCCAGUCCAGCGGGUGGCAGAUGUGUCCCGAGAGGAAUCCACCGACCUUCUUUGUUGCUGUCCUCACCGACAUCAACUCCGGGCGCCACUACUGUGCUGCUUGACCUUCUGGGAGCAGGAAACGACACGCGCUAAGGAUGCCACUGAGUGGGAGGAAGAGGAGGAUGAGGGAGGCCUUACGCACCUGUCGCCCACAGAGCCUGCCCAUCUGCCCAGAUGUUUGCCCCAAAGACGCUGGUACCUGUGUCGCGACUUGACCAUGCGGAGGUGUUCAGGAACAGCCUCGGCCUCAUCUAUGCCGUCCACGUGGAGGGCCUGAAUGUGUUCCCAGGGAACGUAAUUGGGAACCUGCUGACGUGCACCGUGCCCCUGGCUGGGGGCUAGUAGAGGACGAUUUAUUUGGGGGCUGGUGACCGGCAGGUCAUCCAGACUCCACUGGCCGACUCCCUGCCCAUCAGCAGCUGCAGCGUGGCCUGCUCUUCCGCCAGCUGGGCAUCACCAACGUACUGUCUUUGGUCUGUGCCACCCUCAUGGAGCACGAGGUUCUCUUCCUGUCCCGGAGCUACCAGCAGCUCACCGAUGCCUGCAGGAGCCUCCUGGCAUUGCUGUUUCCUCUCAGAUACAGCUUCACCUAUGUGCCCAUCCUGCCGGCCCAGCUGCUGGAGGCCCUCAGCACACCCACGCCCUUCAUAAUCGGGGUCAAUGCGGCCUUCCAGGCAGAGACCCAGGAGCUGCUAGACGUGAUUGUAGCUGAUCUGGAUGGAGAGACGGUGACCAUCCCUGAGUGUGUGCACAUUCCACCCUUGCUAGAGCCACUGCAGAGUCAGACGCACAGUGUUCUAAGAAUGGUCCUGGACCCGGAGCUGGAGUUGGUUGACCUCGCCUUCCCUCCACCCAUGACGUCCCCCUCCUCCUUGAAUAUGCAGGACAAAGAGCUGCGGCUCUUCCAUCAGCUGCUGCAGGGCUAUCUCUGGUGCCUGCACGUCGUGUGCAUUCACCCGGAGCCUGUCAUCCGCUUCCAUAAGGCAGCCUUCCUGGGCCAGUGUGGGCUGGUGGAGGACGAUUUCCUGAUGAAUGUGCUGGAGGGCAUGGCCUUUGCUCUCUUUGUGUUGGAGUGUGGGGUCCCGUACUGCCCCACGGACCUGUUUGAUGAGCUGGUGGCCCACGAUGUGGCACAGAGGUGGGUGGAUGAGAACCACCCCCAAUGAGUCCUGCAUCACAUCCAAGAACUGGUAGAGCAGCUCUGCAAGAACAAGAACCUGUACCCAGACUUGGCGAUGCACAACAUGCAGAGGCCGGGUGACAGCAGCCACCUGAGAUGGGCGCCCCGGCCCUUCCCCUGGCUGGAUGAGGGCGCCAUGCAGUGGAUCGUGGACCAGGCUGAGGCCAAGAUGCAAGGUGCACCCCUAGCCAUGAAGGCUGGGAGGAGGACCACAGGGCCCUCAGGGCCCCGCAUGACUGCCCUACUGGAUGGGUGCAGCAGGCUGCAGGUCAAGAGCCCAGGGCAGCUGGAGGUCGUGGGCAACUGCAUCUCCCACGUGUUUGAGGGGAAGAUGCUUGAGGCCAAGAAGCUGCUCCUAGCUGUGCUGAGGGCCCUGAAGUGGUGAGCUGCCUGCCACUGCCUCACCCGGGAACUGUACCUGCAUGUGCAACAGAACUGGGUGGUCCUGGACCACCAGCAGUUUGACUUUGUCAUCAGUAUGAUGAACUGCUGCCUGCAGGACUGCACUUCUCUGGACAAGCAUGGCAUCUCGGCUGCUCUGCUGCCUCUGGUCACAGCCUUCCUGGAAGCGGAGCCAAGGGGUAAGGUAGUUCUCUUACAGCUCUGUGCAGGAGCACGUGGUGUGGAGCAUGCCACAGUUCUGGGAGGCCGUGUUCUACUGGGACAUGCAGACUCAUAUCUGGGUCCUUUACCUGGAGCCCACCGAGGAUCAGGCCCCAGCCCAGGAGGUUGGGGAGGCACCUUCCCAGGAGGAUGAGAGAGCACUCUGCCCUAGAAGUGGCUUCUGAGCAGUGGUGCCUGUGGCCAUCCCUGAGCGGUGAGAAGCAGCAGGAGCUGAUGCAGAAGGAGGAGAGCACAGUGUUCAGCCAGGCCAUCCACUAUACCAACUGCGUGAGCUACCUCCUGCUGCCUCUGGACAGCAGCAAGAGCCGCCUGCUUCAGGAGCUGGGUGACCUGGAGAGCACCAGCAACAGCCUGGUCCCCAACAGCAUGGCUGGCAGUGUGGCUGAGAGCUAUGACACGGGGAGCGGCUUUGAGGACAGAGAGACCUGCAAUGUAGCUGGGGCUGUGGUCCACUUCAUCAACCGCUUUGUGGACAAGGUCUGCACAGAGAGUGGGGUCACCAGUGACCACCUCAAGGGGCUGCAUGUCAUGGUGCCAGACAUCGUCCAGAUAAACAUUAAGACCCUGGAGGCGGUGCAGCGGGAGAACCGGAGGCUGAUGCCCAUCUAGAAACCCAAGCUAUUGAGGCUGCACCUGCUGUCUGGUGAGGAGUGUGUGCUGGAUGGCCUGCGCAUCUACCUGCCACCGGAUGGGCGUGAGGAGGGUGCGAGGGCGGGCAGUGCGGGGUGGCCAGCACUGCUCCCAGCUGAGGGCGCCCUCUUCCUCACUACGUACCGGGUCAUCUUCACGGGGAUGCUCACAGACCCCCUGGUGGGGGAGAAGGUGGUGUUCCGCUCCUUCCCGGUGGCCGCGCUGACCAAGGAGAAAUGCAUCAGCAUCCAGACCCCUUUGGAUCAGCUAUUGCAGGACGGGCUGCAGCUGCGCUCCUGCACAUUCCAGCUGCUGAAAAUGGCCUUUGAUGAGGAGGUGGGGUCUGACAGUGCCGAGCUCUUCUGCAAGCAGCUGCAUAAGCUGCGGUACACACCGGAUGUCAGGGCCACCUUCUCCUUCACCCUGGGCUCUACCUACACACCCGGCCAGCCACCCCGAGUCACCAAGAACAAGGGUCCUUCCCUCAGAACCCUGUCCUGGAACCUGGUUAAGAACGUCAAGAAGACCAUCGGGCGGCAGCAUGUCACUCGCAAGAAGUACAACCCCAACUCAGCUAGGAGCACUGGAGCCAGCCGCCCUCUGAGGACCAGGAGGAGGAGAUCUCAGUGUCGGAAGAGCUGGAGCCCAGCACACUGACCCCGUCCUCAGCCUUGAAGCCCUCGGACGGCAUGACCAUGAGCAGCCUCCUGGUGGAAAGGGCUUGCUGCCGCGACUAUCAGUGCCUUGGCCUGGGCCCCCUGAGCAGCCGCCUGAGCCGGGCCAAGUCUGAAUCCUUCCGCAUUUCUCUGGUCAACCGCAUGCAUGCCAUCUACCGCAGGUACCCGGGGCUGCUGAUCGUGCCCCAGAGUGUCCAGGACAACGCCCUGCAGCGCGUGUCCUACUGCUACCGCCAGAACCGCUUCACCGUUGUCUGCUGGCGCAUCCGGCGGUCCAAGGCAGUACUGCUGCAUUCUGGGGGCCUGUACGGCAUAGGUGUAGUCGGACUCUUUAAGGCCCAGAACGCACCUUCUCCAGGCCAGUUCCAGGCAGACUCGAGUAGCCUGGAGCAGGAGAAGUACCUGCAGGCUGUUGUCAGCUCCAUGCCCCGCUACUCCAGUGCGUCCGGACGCAACACACUUAGCGGCUUCUCCUCAGCCCACGUGGGGAGUCACAUUGGCAGCCCCAGAGCCAGGGUCACCACUCUGUCUAACCCCAUGGCGGCGGCAUCCAGACUGACUGCACCCCGAGGUAAGUGGGGGCAGUGUCUGGACCUGUGGGCGCAGCAGUGGGCUUGGUGCCAAUGUGGGCUCCCAGCUAGCUGGCAGAGAGGCGAUGGCCCCACCCCAGGCCAACGGGUGUCCCCCGGCCCCCGACCCGGGCUUCCUGUGGCCACAGCAAGCAGCCCUCUACAUCCUCGGGGACAAAGGCCAGCUCAAGAAUGUGCGGCCGGACCCCUUGCAGCAGUGAGAGCUGGUGCCCAUUAAGGUAUUCCAGGCGCGGCAGGUGAAGGCUAGCUUCAAAAAGCUGCUGAAGGCAUGUGUCCUGGGCUGCCCUACUGCUGAGCCCAGCCUAGUCUCCUUCCUGCGCUUGCUGGAGGACUCAGAGUGGCUGAUUCAGAUCCACAAGCUGCUGCAGGUGUCGGUGCUGGGAGGGGGGAGCUCCUGGACUCAAGUUCCUCCGUGCUGAUGGGCCUGGAGGACGGCUGGGACAUCACCACCCAUGUGGUAUCCUUGGUGCAGCUGUUCUCAGACCCCUUCUACUGAACGCUGGAGGGGUUCCACCUGCUGGUGGAGAAGGAGUGGCUGUCCUUCAGUCAUCGCUUCAGCCACGGGGGAGCCCACAUUCUGGCUGGACAGAGCAGCGGCUUCACACUAUCUUCCUGUAGUUCUUGGACUGCCUACACCAGCUCCACCUGCAGUUCCCCAUGGAGUUUGAGUUCAGCCAGUUCUAUCUCAAGUUCCUCGGCUACCACCACGUGUCCCGCUGUUUCUAGACCUUCCUACUGGACUCUGACUAUGAGCACAUUGAGCUGGGGCUGCUGUACGAGGAGAAGGGGCAGCGCAGGAGCCAGCUGCCUUGCAGGUCUCUGUGUGGACCGGAUGAGCAAGAGGACAGCCAUGUUCCACAACUACAUGAAUGCACCCGAGGACACAGAGGUCCUGCGGCCCUACAGCAACGUGUCCAACCUGAAAGUGUAGGACUUCUGCGCUGAGGAGAUGCUGGCCGAGGGCCCUCCCUAUGACUGGGAACUGGCUCGGGGAACCCCCUGAGCCCCUGAGGAAGAACGGUUUGACGGAGGCGCUCCCCAGAGCAGGUGCUGUGUGGUGUGGCCCUGCUACCACAGCUGCCCCCGAGCCCAGCCUGACGCCAUCUCACGCCUGCAGAGGUUGGAGACAGAGCUGAGCCGACCCGCUAAGCGCUGGAAGGACACCUGGGACCGCGUGAAGGCUGCAUGGCGCCUUGAAGCCCGGCCAGAUGGACGUGGCACCCCUAGCUCCCUCCUAGUGUCCACCGCACCUCACCACCGCUGCUCGCUGGGUAUGUACCUGCAGGAGGAACCCGUGGGCUCCACCUUGAGCCUCAGCCUGGAGAGUGACCAGAAUAGAGGCUCGACCGCAUCUGGCUCCCGCCAGGCUGCCUGCGGCAGCACCAGCACCCUUACAGCCAGUUCCAGACAGCUGAGAGUGAGAACAGGUCCUACGAGGGCACUCUGUACAAGAAGGGGGCCUUCAUGAAGCCCUGGAAGGCCCGCUGGUUCAUGUUAGACAAGACCAAGCACCAGCUACGCUACUACGACCACCGUGUGGACACUGAGUGCAAGGGUGUCAUCGACCUGGUGGAGGUGGAGGUGGAGGCUGUGGCACCUGGCAUGGCCACCAUGGGUGCCCCUAAGAGCGUGGAUGAGAAGGCCUUCUUUGACGUGAAGACAACUCCUCGCGUUUACGACUUUUGUGCCCAGGACGUGCCCUCAGCCCAGCAGUGGGUGGACCGGAUCCAGAGCUGACUGUCGGACGCCUGAGCCUCCCGACCUUGCCUGGCUGCUCUGCUUCCAGUCGUUACCGACCACUAGGGGUGGGCAGGGCAGCCCUGGCCAUGUUUACAGCCCCGGCCCGGCCCUCGGCAGUAGUGAGGCCCCGAGCCCCCAGCACUUGUGUGUACAGCCCUAGUCCCUGCCCCGCACCGCCCGGCCAGCCCUAACUUAUUUCGGCGUCACAGCUGAGCACCGUGCCGGGAGGUGGCCAAAGUACAGCCCGCAAUGGGCCUGUAAAUAGUCCAGCCAGCUGGCUGCAGGCGAAUUGUUUCUAGAACCAGAGUCUAUAUAAAGAGAGAA